CUGCCAUCCCCGGGGAGCCGCGCGGCUGAGAGGUGGGUUUCGCAACCCACGACCCGUUGAACCUGAACCCGUUAGCACGGGCGGAGGGAAGGGCAGUCUUUAAGGC
rnacentral:ncRNA from 1 species